rnacentral:misc_RNA from 1 species
GUCAAAAGCAUUAGAAACAAAGAUAUUAAGGAAGAUGCUACUACUUCACUAUCUUGUCAGUGUGCUUGAAGGAGACUUUGUGCCUCGUAUCAAAGCAUUCAAAGAAAAGAUGAGUUGGACCAUUUUGCGGGAUUCAUUGCUCAGCAUGCUUCUGGGGUCAAGAAAAAUAAUCUAUAGAAGCUUAGUCAAGGACUGCCUGUCAGUUAUAUGUGAUGUGUUCUCUGACUUGUAUGAUAAAUAUGAGUCCUCUGAUGUGGAUUCAGUGGCACCUCCUUCAAACGAGAUAUCACAUAAUUGCAUUGCUGCUUUUGCACUGGCUUUACCUGAACUCAAACGGUCUACUUGUAUCUAUCUGAAGAAUCUCCUGAGGAUGAUGAUGGACCUGGAUACAUCACGUAAUGUGGCAGAUGUUCAAGGCUGUACCACCAGAGCUGAUAGUGUGAGAACACCUGCUGCAGAGAUCAUUUUGGAUGAACUCGCUUACAAUUCUGAUAUGCUCUCCCCCUUUUUUCAGGUCUUUGAUGACCCUUGGUGGAAGCUAAAAAUAAUCAUGCAGCACUUUCAGAAAUACACUCCUAAGUUUCCUGUUCGUACUAGGAGAUCAAAUAGUCUGGUGAAUGAUUCCACAUUUGAAGGUGUUUUAAAGUGCUUCUCAAACAGCAGGAGCACAAAAAAUAUCAUCAAGAAAAUUGGAAUGGAUGUUGCUCAGCUGCUUCUUGCGCAUGCCUUUUUGGCUUAUUUGUCAGUAUCAGUGGAUUCUUCUGCUCAAAAUGAUGAUUUUGAAGAGAUGGUGAAAGGAAGCUCUCUCACAGAAAUCUGCAAGCAUAUAAUAGCUGCUUUUACUUUUAUCAGAAAAGAAUACAAGAACACAGAAAUUCUACUUAUGGGUAAAGAAGCAGUGUUUACAGCCUCGACCAUUCUCUCAACCAAGUCAUAGGAGAAACAGCAGUUACUAUUUAUUGUUCAUAAUGUAUAUUUGGUCAAAUGGGGGCAAUUUGCAAAGCCCUCCUACCUGAAGUCGGCCAAAUGAUGUUUCUACACAGCCAGUAGUGGUCAAAUGCUGAUCAAGGAAACCUCAGUGAAAGCUUCAUUUAAUAGCCAAUGGAACUGUCCUUUGUAGUUACAGGAAAACCGAAAAAGGGCAACUCUAAAGAACUUGGUGUAUGUAUGAAUAUAUCCAUAGCACUAAGCUAUGUGUUAAUGCUUAAAUGGAUCACUUCAAUGUUAGUGUAUUCUGUCCAAUGAUAGUCGUGAAAACACUGAACAGAACAAAAUGGAAACAAACAAUGAAACUUGUCUG